rnacentral:rRNA from 1 species
AACGCAGCGAAAUGCGAUACGUAAUGUGAAUUGCAGAAUUCAGUGAAUCAUCGAAUCUUUGAACGCACAUUGCGCCUGGCAGUAUUCUGCCAGGUAUGCCUGUCCGAGCGUCAUUUCACCACUCAAGCUCUGCUUGGCGUUGGAGGACCCGCGUUUGCG